rnacentral:precursor_RNA from 15 species
UCAUUUUGUUGUCGUAACUGUUCGAAAUGCUGACAUUUUAACCAUAGUGCUGUUGUUUAUAUUCAAAUUAAUAGCAUUGUGUUGGAAAUGUCGUCUUUUCGAACAAACUAGCACCGAUUAAGUUA